GUGAACGGCAAUGCCAAGGGCAAUGGGAAGUGUCCUUAAACAUAGGGGCUGUGCUCUUCUUUGUCCCUUCUCCCUUCCUACCGGUUGGAACGUACAUGUGAUGGCUGGAGCUUAAGCAGGCAUCUUGGAUCAUGAGUAGGAAGCUAUAUUUGAGGACAGUAGAGCAACAAGACAGAAGGAGCCUGGGUUCCUGAUGACUGUGGCACCUCCAAAUCUGCCCUGGAGGCUUUAUGUGAAAGAGAAAGAAGCGUUUCCCUUGCUUAAGUUAUUGUUAUUUUGGAGUUUCUAUGGAGACUAAACCUAAUCCUGAGUGUUGGGUAUGUUCAGUCCGCUCCCGAUCCCCAUGGCUCCCCUUUUGUUGAGACUUGCUUGUCCAUGCUGACUUCCACUUCCACCUCUCACCCCUCCCUCCCAGACCCGCACCCCCGUUCUGCUGGGAUACCUCCGUUAAGAGCCCCUGGGGCAUUGUGAUCUCUGAAGUCAGUUCACUCUCAGUCCUGAUGUCACUGCCAGUCAGGCCCUCUCACAGCAUGGAGUGCUCAUCACAGCCUGUAAUUAUGUAUUUAUUGUGGAUUUCCUUGAUUGCCUGCUUCCCAGGACUGUCAUUAACGUGAGGGCAGGGCCCUGCCUGUGUGUGUUCACCAUUACGUCCCUGCGCCCAGCUCGGGGCCCAGGCCCAAGGGUGCAUCAGCAAACGCCCACCAGACUCGAGGGAAGAAUGGAGACUGGAGUUCCGGAAGCAGCUCCAGCGUAUGCUGGCGGUGUGGCCUCACUUCUCAGACGCGUCCUUUUUCUGCCUAUGAAGCCAUCACAUACCGCCCUGCCCAGGAGACUGGGCAAAUAAACUGUGACACACCCACAUGGCGGACUACAACACAGCAGGACCAGCCACAGGCACGCAGCGACACGAUGCAUCACACAGCUCGUGUUGAGAGGAAGAGGCCAGCCUCAGAGGACAGGCGGUGUGGCUCCAUUAAUCCGAAUACAAAGAUCAAGCAAAUCUUCAGGGACAGCGUGGGAGCUCCUCCGGGAUUUGAGAUGGAAGGGGCACGAGGGAGCCUCUGGGGGGCUGGCAGCUGUCUGGAUGGUGGUGGUUUCGCGGUGCACAUGAACAUAAAAAUGCACCCACCUGUAAACUUGUGGUCCGUGCGCUCACCUCAGGUUCAAAUGGACUUAAGCCGAAGAGACGUGCUCUGAGGAUGCAGAGCGUGGGUCUGCGCGACGGCCCUGCCACGGUAACCCCAGACCAGCCCUCGUUCCCCCUCCUCCGACCUCUUGUCCACCCUGAGACUCCCGGCUCUGCAGUGUCCCCAGGCCGAGCCCUCGUACGCACAGCAGCCACCUGCUCCCAUCCUCCCGAGGCUCCUUCCGGUCCAUUCUCUCUCUUCAACCUUGGCAGGCGCUGGCCUCCAUGGCCUUGGGUUGGGACUGCUCUGACAGUGCUGAGGGCACCUGCACGUCCCAACCCCCCACGCCAGAUGCUGCUCUUAAGGACUUACCCUCCCUGUGCAUCUCAUCCACCUGCCUGGGCUUCCUUCCGUGUGGGAAUCAGGCUCGACAAGGGCUUAGGCUCAGAGAAGCCAGGUCUGGAAUUGGCACUUCUGGUUCCAGGUCAUCAGGUCCCAAAUUCUGAUGCUGGCCAAGCCAGGGAUGGCAAACAGGGUCAUUUUAUGUGCUAGCUGCGGUUGAUUAGGAGGCUGCCUGGAGAAUGUGCUGAGAAAGAUUCUGAGGCCACUUCUGGACUCUGCAGGAAAGAGCGGCUGAUGUGUGAGUGGCACAUGUGAUGGAGGAAUGAGAGGCAAGCUUGCUGUCCCUGAGAGCCAUCCUCACUCUACACCCGCCUCUGCCCCUACACAGGCUCCUCGAAUUCCGCCAAACCCACCGCCACCUCCCCAACCACAGUGAAUGCUCGUGACAGCUCACGCGUAUCUAUGGAGCCUGUAAUUACCUAGCGCAAGACUCCGCUAAGCACAUCACCUACUUCUCUUCCCACCUGCCGAUAAGCCUCUUAUUACCGCCACGUGACAGGUGAGGGAUGGAGACGGGCUGCCUCGCCCAGGACCCCUGGCUCCCGAGAGGCAGACAUGGGGUGCACGUAGCCAGACCCCCAGGGCCACGUCCUCGGACUGUGGUUUCACCUCCACACUCCCCAUCUUUCCUCAUCUUCACCACCAUUCUAACUCCUACCUGCCCUCAAAGCCACCUCAAGUGCCACCUCCUUCCCUCAUCUCCAUUCUGAAAGGAAUCCUCUCUCUCCGGAACCUCUCAAGGGUCCUUGGCUCAGACUGCCUCAUCCUGAACUUAUGUGUGGCUUCACUGGACCGUGAACUUCAUGCCGGAAACACAUCCUUUCCUCCUUGGGGCCCCCUGGGUCUGAGCCCUGGCCCAGCAGAGAAGGGCCUCCCUGAAAAUGUUUGUUGAGUGAACAGACACCCUUUGCCUCAGAAGGAAGUGCUGUCUCUGACCUUGCCCUUGGCUCUGACCUUGCCCAGGCAAAAGGCAUGGUUCAUUCAUCUUCCAGUGUGUACUGAGUGCCUGGCAGAUUCAGGCACCAUGAAGAGACAACAGUGAACAAGACCGGUCCCUGCCCUUGGGACUUAUGGGACUUAUGCCCUGUGACAACUAUUUAAUGACAAUGGAACAUCCAGGAGGGCCUCCUAGAGGCGGUGGUGGCACCUGAACUUUGUGGCCCACGUGUGCUGACAGGUGCGCUGUUCCUCCUCUGCUCUGCCUCUUGUUGGAUUCAUCACUUGCAGGACGUCUUCCCACUGCUGGAAGGCUCUGAAUGGCUUUGCAGGAGGAAGGGGC
ensembl:lncRNA